CCAUACCAGCCGGGGAUUUAGCGGAGCCCUGCACCUGAAAUCCGCUACAGCAGGGGUGGAUCCCUCUUCUGAGGGCCGAGCCUUUACGGCCUGAGCCGUAUUCUGCUGUGAUGACGAGUGGGUCUCGCGCAAUCGGGAGCUGUGAACCAUGUCAGGUGGGGAACCAAGCAGCAUUAAGCGGUGAACCUGAUGUGCCGCGAGGGCGCCUGCUCUGAGCAGGAGAUACGGAGAU
rnacentral:SRP_RNA from 1 species